UAUAGUGAAUUUUAAUGUGGAAGAGUGACAUGAAUUCCUUGAAGGUUUCGCUUGUAAAUUCCCUUGCAAGGUUUUCGAAAGCUUUUUUAGAAAUUAGAGGGCCGGAAAAUGGUAUUUUUCGAGGGUUCCUAUCAUAUUUUAAGGUUUCGUCUAUCUCAUUUGCAGGGUUUUGGAGGCUUUACGUGAUGUUUUUUAUCUUCACGUUGCUAUUGCGGUAUCGUCCGCAUAUAGCGCUGCCAUGGUGUUCUCCGUUUUUGUGAUGUCCGCUGUGUAUAUGUUAUACAACAUCAGUGAAAGUACCGCUCCUUGCGGUACUUCAGUCUGCUGUUCCCAGACUUCAGAUAUCUAGUGUGCAACCUUCACCUGAAACUUUCUGUCUUUGAGGUACAUUGUGUAGUUAGAAGAUAAAAUCGUGAGAAACCAUGAAAUUUCGACAUAAAGCUCCUGGAGUGGGAAUAAAAGUAGAAACUAAUACAAAACCUCAACAUCAAGUAGACCAGAGACACAACCAAGACAAAUGGCCAAACACCACUAGUUAAGUAACUAAAACAAAAUGGUUCUAAUAUUCAGUUAAAAUAAGUGUUGAAGAUAAGCGACUAUUUGAUACAAAAGUUACUUUGCUGUACAGGUACAUUUUAAUUUGAACAUUUAGUCAACAAAUAAAAAACAAAAGCCAGCAAAUUUUCAUUACAAAAACAUUUUACAAUUUUACCGACAAUGAUUACCGCAAGAUUUUCAGGAUCAACACAGCAGAAAACAAAAAAGACUACCAAGAUAGUGAAUAUAAUAGUUUCUAUAUGAUCACCUAUUUGUAUAGCAGGAGUGUUUAACUUCAGUUAAAAUAUUCCGGCGUACUAGCAUUCAGUGAUAUGGUUAGAUAACCUCUAUGUUAAAGUAUGAUGAUGUAGCAAACUUCUAAUGAGCAAAUUGAAAAAGACUUUCGAACACUUUUAUGGCAGUUGGAAGAGAAGUUCAUCACUUCCUAGUGAUAAAAAACCUGCAAGCACCGAAGCAGAAAAGCAGGAAUUUUUUCACCAAGCCCAACGGGGCAAAACUUCAUAGUCUUAACAUAAACCAGAGAUAAAUGUAUGGAAUUGAUAAAGACAACCAGACGCGACAGUAAGUCCUGUUACAGCAGGUAGAGAAUGUGUCAGAACCAGGUUUGAUAAGAUAUAAUCAAGAAGAUCACAAACUAUACUUGGCUACAUGGUAAAAGAAAAGAGAAAACCCUUAUGUUCCUUAUUAAAGCUCACUUUCCGGAUUUUGUAUGAGUAGAAGACUAAAAACAAUGAUGAAAGCCACGUCCGGUCUGAGAGCUAGUAGUUCUCCAGGUCCUAACCUAUUUUCCUACUGGAAGCUGUGGAGGCGUUUGUUAGCCCAUAUUCAAAAUUGCCAGAGGCUUUUGUAGCCCAGCCAUCCAGGGCGAGUUACACCAUCUCCAUCCCUUUCGCAGUUUCUAAAAGGAAUCUACUAAAUGGUAACCAGCUUAUCUACCGAAAGAGAAAGAUCAAUGAAGACUGAGCUCGGCUGUUGGGGGACCAUGUGGAAGCUGGGGUUUUGAAUUAGUGGUUUUUGUAGAUAUAAAAGGAGCCCUCAACAAUAUCCCAAGCGCUAUCAUUAAAGAGAGCAGUAAUAGUUCCCUCGACAAGAAAAAUGAGUAGAUCAUAUGCAGGUUAGUCAGAAAAUUAUAGCUAGCAUUGAAGGCUAAAUGACGUUGGGUUGCUCAUAGAGCAAUGUUCUAUUUCCAUAAAGGAAUUACCAGUGAAAAUAUAGACAAUCAGUCUUGGAUGCCUCGUCGACAUCCUAUUACAAAUCGCCCAGAAAAAUAUGAAAUUAGUGGUGGCUUGGUACGAAAAGACUCUCAGUCAAACCCAAGAAGAUUAAAAUUGCAGUUUUCAAUGACAAGAUGCUAUAACAGGUGUAAGAACUGCACCCUGACCUCUAGUACAGAUACAAUCGCCAAGAUAAAAACUCUGGUAGAUCUAAUCACAGGACACGCUAAAGUUUGUUGCCAUAGAUAUAGUACAACCACAAGCACAUAAUACUGCAGCAUACAAGGUGAUAUAUUUAAAUUGUCAUCAGAAAAAAGGUAAAUUUGGCGGCAACACGGUAAAUAUUAAAUUUGUAAGCUAGAUAAUAUCGCAUAUUAUUUUAUAAAGUUCCAUUAACCAAUUUUUUAGUUUAGUAAAAUAAAUUUGUAUUAAAUGAAAUAUAAAACAUUG